rnacentral:rRNA from 1 species
GACGAACGCUGGCGGCGUGCCUAAUACAUGCAAGUCGAACGAGAGCAACCGGUGCUUGCACUGGUCAAUCUGGUGGCGAACGGGUGAGUAACACGUGGGUAACCUGCCCAUCAGAGGGGGAUAACAUCCGGAAACGGAUGCUAAAACCGCAUAGGUCUUCGAACCGCAUGGUUUGAAGAGGAAAAGAGGCGCAAGCUUCUGCUGAUGGAUGGACCCGCGGUGCAUUAGCUAGUUGGUGAGGUAACGGCUCACCAAGGCCGUGAUGCAUAGCCGACCUGAGAGGGUGAUCGGCCACAUUGGGACUGAGACACGGCCCAAACUCCUACGGGAGGCAGCAGUAGGGAAUCUUCCGCAAUGGACGCAAGUCUGACGGAGCAACGCCGCGUGAGUGAAGAAGGUUUUCGGAUCGUAAAACUCUGUUGUUAGAGAAGAACAAGUGCUAGAGUAACUGUUAGCGCCUUGACGGUAUCUAACCAGAAAGCCACGGCUAACUACGUG